GGAAAAACACGCGGUGGCAUUUUUGCAAUUUAAGUGAAAACUUUGACUAACUUAUUCACAUCAGUGGUUAGAAGUUAGAACUACCUGAAGUCAAAACAAAUUUUCACCCUUAUCGUUUCCUCCAUCUGUAAAACGCAUCACACGUUGUAUCAUUUUCACUCAAUCAAAAAACGCUCGCUUUGCUGUUCAAUCGGAACACUCGCCGUCCAAGCCCUUGGCUGUUCAAUCGAAUCCUCUCAAUCGGUGAGUUCUCUCUCUCUAUCUCUCUGAAUUUUCAAUUGAAACUCUAACCCCUUUGUUGUUAAAAAAAAAAUCGUGAAACCCUAAUCCUUUUCAAACAGUGGAACACGAUUUGAAUAUGAAUUGGGUUUUAUGAGUUUCACGUGUUUGUUGGUUUGUUUGUCAGAUUUGAUGAAAUAAAAAUUUUGUAGCUUAAAUUUUGAACUGGGUGUUCUUAUUGAGGUUCAGUUGUUUGUUAGAUUUGAUGAAGAUACAAUUGUACUUUUUUUUUGCUGCUUGAAUUUUGAAUUGGGUGUUUUUAGGAUUUGUUUAGUUUUAGGUUUCAACCAUAUAAAAUGGUUAGGGAAAAAAGAGUCAACUACUCUGUUUAAUUUUUUUAUCAGUAGCAAUGGAGUUCAAUAUUCUGGGAUUUACAAGUCCACUUGACAUGAAAUUAAGAACAAAAGAAAAAAAAUUAUGCCAUGAAAUUAGGAAUAAGUUUUAGUUCUUUGUACCUUGCUGCAGAUUUGUUACUUAGUUUUAUCAGGACAGAUUUUAAGCCAUUAGUGUAGCUCUAUUAUUGGAAAGUAGUAAUAAGGAAUAGUCUAUAUAAUGUAAAUACAUUGUACAAUUGUCACCAUAUAAUGAUGUUUAAGAUAUUUCCUUUCAACUAACGGUAUAUUUUCCCUAGUAAGUAAUAACAACCAGAGUAGGAGAUGCCUGACAGGACAAGUGACUUGAAAAUGUAACAUAUAUAAUUAAAUUAUUGAAUGAGGAAUUGAGUGUAUUUAAGGUACAUAUGUGAUAUAUUGAGUACUCAGGCUUAAUUUCUCAUGUUUUUUAAGGAUAGAAUAUAAAUAAGCAUUUAAAUAGGUUUUAGAGGAAGACCUAAGAAAACCAUUCGAGAAACCAUUAGAAAAGAUUUAGAGGUCAAUGAGUUGGAUUCAAAUAUGGUUUUUGAUAGAACACUAUGGUGGCAUUUGAUCCAUGUAGCCGACCCCACUUAGUGGGAUAAGGCUUGGUUGUUGUUGUUGUUGUUGUCGUUGUCAGGUAUAACUUCUCAGACAUAACUUCUUCAGGGCACAACUUGAAAUAAAACUAGAAUGCUGGGAUGGUUUAGUUUGAAGCUGUAGCGUUUUAGGACCUUGACACUUGACAUGUUCACUUGUUUAUCAUGUUUGUUUAUCAUAAGAGUGUUAAUUUCUCCUAUUAUAUUUUAAAUAUUUCAAUGUAAUUGUUUUUAUGAUUGAUGAUUUAUUCUGUAACAAAUAUGAUAAAGN
rnacentral:lncRNA from 1 species